UGAAUGUCUGCCUAGCAACAGCGUGAACAGUAUCAACGUCGGAGCGUGGGGUUUCGAUUUCCAUUGCUCUCAUUCUCAUGUCAGUGACUUCAGCAGUGCGGCACAUUUCGAUGGCAGUUACUAAUGUUAAGCCUCUCUCUCUCUCAGUAGAUGCUGGCGCGUAUUCUCAUUUGCAAUUCCCAGUACUAUUUUGUCACGAAUCAAUUCAUCUUUCAAUCCCCCGUAUUCACAAGUGGCGGAUUUUUCUCUCAAAUGGGUUACAAAGUUGUGUACUCACCCUCUUCCUGUUUGCAGCUUCCGAUAACGAACCGCUCGUAAAUUACGUUUCUGGCGGGUUUGAAGUAAUUCUCCAAUGCAUCACACUGUUGUCGUGCUGUGAGGGUGAGAUUGUGCCGGUAGAUAUGCCUGCAUUCGCUGCCCAUUAAACUCCUCAGAGUUGCCGCUUGUACCUCGUUGGGUUUCUCAUGUAGACCGGUCGCCAGCUCAUAGUCCUCGAAUUCAUCCCUGAAAUUGUCCCAAUUAGUAUUCCAGUCCCCUGUGAGAACUAUGGGAUAUGGUGGUGGAAUGUUUGCUGCCAUAGCGAUGGAAUUGGAGAUUUCUUUGCCUUCAGUCAUCGAGUGUUCUGAGUUAUAAUAAUUACUGAUCAUGAGCACUUACCACGCUACACCUUGGUCUUCUCCUUGCGACGAUCGUCACAGAAGAUCCCACCACAAAAAGACCAAGCAGCGUGGUCCGGAGCAAUGGACCUGGGAAGACAUCCGGGACGGAAAGGGAUCCUGGACGUGGGAGGAGAUCCAGGUUGGAUGGCAUCGCCUCCCAUGGGAACAGGUGGAGGCAGCGAGAGCAGAGCGGCGACGAGACAAGGAACUAGCAUGGCAACGACGGAAGCACGAGAGGCAGCCCCACAUGUUUUUUUGUUGGGGGGGGGGGCCACACGGGGAGAUUGGCAGAGUCAGGGUGGAGACCUGAGCCAACUCCCCGUGCUUACCAUGGGGAGCGAGUGACUGAGCAAGCACCGUGCAUUCACAGCCAAGUGCGUCCUGCACCAGCGCCCCGCAUUAGCCGGGCGAAAGUAAGCAUCCAGCCAGGACAGGUUGUGCCAGCUCUACGCUCGAGACCUCCAGUGCGCCUCCACGGCCCAGUAUAUCCUGUGCCUGCUCCACGCACUUGCCCUAAGUUGCGUGUCACCAGUCUGGCGCCACCUGUGCCACCCCCACGCAUCAGGUCUCUAGUGUGCCUGCCCAGUCCGGUGUGUCCUGUUCCUGCUCCUCGCACUCGCCCUGAGGUGCGUGUUACCAGUCUGGCGCCACCUGUGCCAGCCCCACGCAUCAGGCCUCCAGUGCGCUUUCCCAGUCCAGAGCUUCCGGCGACGUCCCGCAGUCCGGAGCCUCCAGCGACAUUCCCCAGUCCGGUGAGACCGGUUCCAGAUCCACGUAAGAAGCCUCCAGUGAUAAUCCAUGGUCCGGAGCCUCCAGUGAUAAUCCAUGGCACGAAGCCUGUAGGGAUGAUCCAUGGCAUGAAGCCUCCAGUGAUGAUCCAUGGCCCGGAGCCUGUAGGGAUGAUCCAUGGCACGGAGCCUCCAGUGAUAAUCCAUGGCCCGGAGCCUCCAGUGAUAAUCCAUGGCACGAAGCCUCCAGUGAUAAUCCAUGGCACGAAGCCUCCAGUGAUAAUCCAUGGCACGAAGCCUCCAGUGAUGAUCCAUGGCAAGAAGCCUCCAGUGGUGAUCCAUGGCGCGGAACCUGUAGUGAUGAUCCAUGGCACGGAGCCUCCUGAGACGGUCCACAGUCGGGAACCUCCGUAGACGGCCCACAGUCUGGAACCUCCGUAGACGGCCCACAGUCCGGAACCUCCGUAGACGGUCCACAGUCCGGAACCUCCGUAGACGGUCCACAGUCCGGAACCUCCUGAGACGGUCCACAGUCCAGAACCUCCUGAGACGGUCCACAGUCCAGAGUCUUCAGCGAUGUUCCCCAGUCCAGAGUCUUCAGCGACGGUCUGCAGUCCAGAGUCUUCAGCGACGGUCUGCAGUCCAGAGUCUUCAGCGACGGUCUGCAGUCCAGAGUCUCCAGCUGUGGUCUGCAGUCCAGGGCCUCCGGCACUGAUCCACGGUCCGGUUCCUCCGACGACAAUCCACGGUCCGGCAAUACAAAAGCG
rnacentral:lncRNA from 1 species